rnacentral:rRNA from 1 species
CCUAGGGGGGCUGCAGUGGGGGAUAUUGCACAAUGGGGGGAACCCUGAUGCAGCGACGCCGCGUGGGUGAAGGAGCGUUUCGGCGCGUAAAGCCCUAUCGGCAGGGAAGAAGAUGACGGUACCUGACCAAGAAGCCCCGGCUAACUACGUGCCAGCAGCCGCGGUAAUACGUAGGGGGCAAGCGUUAUCCGGAUUUACUGGGUGGAAAGGGAGCGUAGACGGUCCUGCAAGCCAGAUGUGAAAGCCCGGGGCUCAACCCCGGGACUGCAUUUGGAACUGUAAGGCUAGAGUGUCGGAGAGGCAGGCGGAAUUCCUAGUGUAGCGGUGAAAUGCGUAGAUAUUAGGAGGAACACCAGUGGCGAAGGCGGCCUGCUGGACGAUGACUGACGUUGAGGCUCGAAAGCGUGGGGAGCAAACAGGAUUAGAUACCCUGGUAGUC